rnacentral:lncRNA from 1 species
AGAGGAUAAUUUUCUUCCUAGGGAACAUGCAAGAAUUUAUGUCAAACAGGUGUAAUGUGCAAAGAGCUCAUGUUUAAAUGAUCAGAGCACAGUGGCGGAGCAAGGUAUGAAGUCUCGAUACAGAGGGAUUAGAAAUCCUUCACAGCAAAAAAAAGAAGAAGAAGAAGAAAAUAGAGAGACUUGCAAAAUGUUGAGAGAUUGAAGAAGAAUUUAACAUGGGAUUAAAUAUUGGGGGGAAAAAUAGGAAAAAGAAAAGCAGGCAAUGAGAAAAGCCCUGGGGAUGAGGCAGGUAUGCCACAUCAAGGAGAGCUCCCAGUCCAUGGACAAGGAUGAGCUUCAGUGCUGCCCCCCCGCAUCUCAGAUCUGCAUCCCCAAACCUUCUGGGGCACAGAGCCAUAGCAGCGGAUGGACCCCACUGGAGCGAGAGAAAUGCAAGCAUGCUGGGGCAGGAGUAGGGGCUCAGCCUCAGCACGGACAUGGGUUCAAGAUCUGCAUCUGCUUCCAGGUCUGCUGCAGCACAAGGCAGAGAUAAGAGCAUCCUUUCCCCAGUGCCUGGGCUCACCUGGGGGCUGCACAGUGCCCAUGGGCCCCUGGCCACGGCUGUUCUCCUGCAGGGCUUUGUCUGUCUGCCCACCUGCAGGGCCAACCAGGAUCGGACUGCUGGCUUUUGUCCUCAAAAUGAACUUGAGCAAGUUCAUAAAGCACACAGCAGAAGACUGAUGACCAUGGGCAACUAUUACAGAGAUCCAGCGAGCCCUCAGCAGCGCAGCAAGCCCCACUGAGCCUGUUGAUGGUCCAGGCCACUCUUCAUCCUGGCUGGCAAAUAUUAACUCCUUUUUUUAAGUCAAGAAAUGAGCUGUUUUGCAACUCCAUCCCAUUUGAAUUCUCUAAUGAGGCUUCAAGGAGCUUCCCCAUCUUCGAGCCCAGGGCUCCGGGCCAGGCUCUGGUAGCAGCGGGGCUCUGAGGUUGGGGCUCUGUGGCCUGCUGGUCCGCCCCCCAUGUUGGGUGCCAUGAGCCCUCCUGGCAGUCGCUGUCAGGGCACUGUGCAGUCCCUGGCUGUUGCCUGGCUUGUCUCCAGGCAGGCAGGUGCAGCUUCCAGGAGAGCUGACAGUUUUGGCAAGGAGGAGGUGCAGCUCGGUGCCAUUGCCCUCCCUUGGCAGGAAGGCUGAUAAAGUGUCUCAUAAUGAGAUUGCCGUGUUCUCACUUUGCAGGCAGUUUUGUUAGCUUUUGCAAAUGCAGUCUGGGGAGAAUCUCUGUCUGUCCAGACAGACAUUGCUUGCGGCUCUGCCAAUACACUUAGAAUUGUAGAAUCAUAUAAGAGCCUGAGUUGGAAGGGACCCACAAGGAUUAUCUAGCCCCAUGUCUGGCCCCACACAGGACCACCCAAAAUUCAAGCCCCUCCCUCCCUUGGGAUCGCAUGAACAAGAGCUGCUACUUCUUCAUGAGGACUGGAGGAUGGGAAAGAAGAGCUUACAUCCCAGCCCGUUACCUGCCUCCUCCCUCCAGAGAGCCACAUGCAGUGUGCUGAUCCAGAGACAUGCACGAGAACUCUCUGCUCACUUUGUUGCACGUGCACAACCUCAGCUGCGGCUGGAAAAAGUGGUGCAAGCAAAGUAAUAGGUAGAAGCAGCCCAGCAGAAACAAGUAAUUUCUGAGAGAAGUCCUCAGAACUUGCCUCUGAGUCAUCUCCACGUUGGCAGGAGAAACUGGCAAAGAGGAAAAGUGUCUCUGCAGGUAAUGCUGCUGCAAAGGCCCAGAAUUAAGAGGCUCAGCCAAGUGAACACAUCCAGCCCCUAAGACAGACCUCGUCGUACUCUGAAGGAGCUGAAACAGAAAGCCGUUUUUACGGUUAUGAGGUCGGUGAAGAAAUGACACAAAGUCUUACGCUUCUUUUGCCUAUAUCCACACAUACUAUAUACUCGGCUAGAGCAAAACUCAGGUGAAAUCCUGGCUGUCCCUGCUGGAGCAGCCUCCGCUCAGCCACCUGCUGCAGGCUGGCUGGCAAGGGCCUGGCGCAGAGCUCGGGCAGAGGCAGUGAGUCACAGCCACUUCUGCUCAGUAAUUGCAGCCUGCAGAGGCAGCAGCAGCAGGUGGUGCACUGCUCGUGCUUUGUCUGGUGAGGAAGUAGCUGUACCCCUGCCAUGAGAGCUACCCCGUCCCUCCAGAGCCUGGGCUGCUCCUCUCCGGGCUUCAGGACAGGGCAGGGCCCUGCGGCACUGUGCAGGAGCCGCCUCUCACCUUCGUGAGAUGGGGAUUGCAAUUAGUCCUGGCCCUUUGCUUGUGCCAUCUGUCUGCUCCCCGAACAUCCCUGCAGGAUCUGUGUCUUAGCAGGUUAAUUUAAUAACCGCCUGCUUUAUUGCUGCUGGCCGUGGGCAUGGCACGGAGCAGCUGAGUAUGUCAACAGCACAGAGCAGGAAUCAAAUGCUGCCCAGAUGCUCAUUUAGGUUUGUUUUGCUGAGGGAGCGCGAACCCUCCCAUGGGCCGAGCCCUGCGUCGUUCUCCUUGGCAAGAGAUGGGUAAAAAGCAGCAGUGGAGAUUAAACCAGGCCACGGAGCCACGGAGUGCUACACCUGAGAGGUAUGGCGAGGUGAGGACAGCACGGGAGCGGCAGAAAGGUGUUGUUGGCUGGAGGUGAGUGCGUGGCACAGGGCUUGGCCACCGACAGAUGCAGCAGCCGCUCUUACCCAGAGCAUCAGCAGCAAUUUUUGUGGCUGCAGAGCACGGCAGCACGGAGCCCAGUGAGUCAGCCCUGCACACUGAUACAGGCAACGACUGCACUCUGACCUCCGCCUCUCGCACAGACACGAUCCGCAAAGCAUCAAGUGCUGGGAGCUGGGAAGGAAACCUCACAGACCCCAAACCGGUGUCGACUGACAGGACCUGGAGGUGGACUCCGAGCUCCAAGACCCCAAGGCGGCACCACCCGCUCGGGCUGUGCUCACGGCUGUGCUCGCGGCCGCACCGCUGCCUCUUUGUUUUCCCCGGGCCCGCCCCAGCCGCGCUCUUUGCCCCCGGCCCCACUUCCUCACUCAUUCCUCCACCCGCCGCACAAAGGCCCGGCAGCACCACAAAGACGCGCACACAAGGAACCUAAGCGAGCGUGUAAUCUCGUUAUUGUAACCCUCAUCCUCCCUUUCCCCCUUUUCUCCCACCCCCAUUUGUCGCCGAUUAGAACCGGACGGCGGCUCUCAGCCGGUGAACAAAUGACGCUAUUUAUGCACACGGGCAGCCGGGCUGCCUCCUGGGCUGGGCUGGAGGUCCCCCGCUGACCCCUGGCGCCCGCAGCCCAGCGGGAGCCGCAGCAGCGAACGGCGCCCCGGGGCAAAACCCUCCCCUCGGCGGCCGAAGGGCAGCGCGGCGCCACAGCGACCGCACACGGCCCCGGGGCGGCACCGCCCACGACUCGAGGCCCGGCCCCGAGCUCCCCG